rnacentral:rRNA from 1 species
CGCCAGACUCCUACGGGAGGCAGCAGUGGGGGAUAUUGCACAAUGGGGGGAACCCUGAUGCAGCGACGCCGCGUGGGUGAAGGAGUAUUUCGGUAUGUAAAGCCCUAUCGGCAGGGAAGAAGCAAGACGGUACCUGACUAAGAAGCCCCGACUAACUACGUGCCAGCAGCCGCGGUAAUACGUAGGGGGCAAGCGUUAUCCGGAUUCACUGGGUGUAAAGGGAGCGUAGACGGCGACGCAAGUCUGGAGUGAAAGCCCGGGGCCCAACCCCGGGACUGCUCUGGAAACUGCGGCGCUGGAGUACGGGAGGGGCAGGCGGAAUUCCUGGUGUAGCGGUGAAAUGCGUAGAUAUCAGGAGGAACACCGGCGGCGAAGGCGGCCUGCUGGACCGUGACUGACGUUGAGGCUCGAGAGCGUGGGGAGCAAACAGGAUUAGAUACCCGAGUA